rnacentral:rRNA from 1 species
GCAUAUCAAUAAGCGGAGGAAAAGAAACCAACAGGGAUUGCCCUAGUAACGGCGAGUGAAGCGGCAACAGCUCAAAUUUGAAAUCUGGCUUUCGGGUCCGAGUUGUAAUUUGUAGAGGAUGCUUUUGGUGAGGUGCCUUCCGAGUUCCUUGGAACAGGACGCCUUAGAGGGUGAGAGCCCCGUACGGUUGGACACCAAGCCUUUGUAAAGCUCCUUCGACGAGUCGAGUAGUUUGGGAAUGCUGCUCUAAAUGGGAGGUAAAUUUCUUCUAAAGCUAAAUACCGGCCAGAGACCGAUAGCGCACAAGUAGAGUGAUCGAAAGAUGAAAAGUACUUUGAAAAGAGGGUUAAAUAGCACGUGAAAUUGUUGAAAGGGAAGCGUUUAUGACCAGACCUUUGCCAGGCGGAUCAUCCGGUGUUCUUCACCGGUGCACUUCGCCUGGCUUAGGCCAGCAUCGAUUUCUAUAGAGGGACAAAGGCCAUGGGAACGUAGCUCUCUUCGGGGAGUGUUAUAGCCCUAGGCGUAAUACCUUUACGGGGAUCGAGGUUCGCGCUCUGCAAGGA